UCUCACACAAGUUUAGAACUGCAAAUAACGGUUCCGGUGAUUUAUCCAUUUAAUUUCGGGAUACCUUUUAGGGGUACAUAGAAUUAUUGCAGUCCUUAUGGGGCAUUUGCUCAAAAGUAUAUACUAUCAAAUAACUAUGCGUAUUACAUACUGUAGGUAUAUUUGUUAAGAACUUUCAUCAAAAUCAGCUCUCCAUCUGUGCACAAUAAAAAUAUUAUUAACCCCUGCAUAUGAAAUGAAUUUGAAUAUGAGAGAAAAGAAUAAGAGUUUCAAAUAUUAAAGACACUAUAACGAUUGGCGCUUGGGAAUCUCAUUCAAAAUCUCUAUUACUCGGGUCCAAGAUGAAACGUCUAUGUUCUUUACUUUGUCAAACAUCUGCAUUGCGUUUUCAGUGUCGCCACACCUACAGAACAUGUCAGCAAGGGCUCUGUUAAGCUUCAAGUCGCGAUGAAUCCCCUGAUUUUCAACGCAAUGGUAGAUCC